GACAGAGGGUGCGAGCGUUAACCGGAAUUACUGGGCGUAAAGCGCGCGCAGGCGGCUACUUAAGUCGGGUGUGAAAGCCCCCGGCUCAACCUGGGAACUGCAUGAGAAACUGGAUAGCUAGAGUAUGGUAGAGGAAAGUGGAAUUGCCGGUGUAGCGGUGAAAUGCGUAGAUAUCGGGAGGAACACCAGGGGGGAAGGCGGCGUUCUGGACGAAGACUGACGCUGAGGUGCGAAAGCGUGGGGAGCAAACCGG
rnacentral:rRNA from 1 species